rnacentral:rRNA from 1 species
GAUGAACGCUGGCGGCGUGCCUAAUACAUGCAAGUCGAGCGAACAGACGAGGAGCUUGCUCCUCUGACGUUAGCGGCGGACGGGUGAGUAACACGUGGAUAACCUACCUAUAAGACUGGGAUAACUUCGGGAAACCGGAGCUAAUACCGGAUAAUAUAUUGAACCGCAUGGUUCAAUAGUGAAAGACGGUUUUGCUGUCACUUAUAGAUGGAUCCGCGCCGCAUUAGCUAGUUGGUAAGGUAACGGCUUACCAAGGCAACGAUGCGUAGCCGACCUGAGAGGGUGAUCGGCCACACUGGAACUGAGACACGGUCCAGACUCCUACGGGAGGCAGCAGUAGGGAAUCCUCCGCAAUGGGCGAAAGCCUGACGGAGCAACGCCGCGUGAGUGAUGAAGGUCUUCGGAUCGUAAAACUCUGUUAUUAGGGAAGAACAGAUGUGUAAGUAACUAUGCACGUCUUGACGGUACCUAAUCAGAAAGCCACGGCUAACUACGUG